rnacentral:rRNA from 1 species
CAGUCGAGCGGUAGAGAGAAGCUUGCUUCUCUUGAGAGCGGCGGACGGGUGAGUAAUGCCUAGGAAUCUGCCUGGUAGUGGGGGAUAACGUUCGGAAACGGACGCUAAUACCGCAUACGUCCUACGGGAGAAAGCAGGGGACCUUCGGGCCUUGCGCUAUCAGAUGAGCCUAGGUCGGAUUAGCUAGUUGGUGGGGUAAUGGCUCACCAAGGCGACGAUCCGUAACUGGUCUGAGAGGAUGAUCAGUCACACUGGAACUGAGACACGGUCCAGACUCCUACGGGAGGCAGCAGUGGGGAAUAUUGGACAAUGGGCGAAAGCCUGAUCCAGCCAUGCCGCGUGUGUGAAGAAGGUCUUCGGAUUGUAAAGCACUUUAAGUUGGGAGGAAGGGUUGUAGAUUAAUACUCUGCAAUUUUGACGUUACCGACAGAAUAAGCACCGGCUAACUCUGUGCCAGCAGCCGCGGUAAUACAGAGGGUGCAAGCGUUAAUCGGAAUUACUGGGCGUAAAGCGCGCGUAGGUGGUUUGUUAAGUUGGAUGUGAAAUCCCCGGGCUCAACCUGGGAACUGCAUUCAAAACUGACUGACUAGAGUAUGGUAGAGGGUGGUGGAAUUUCCUGUGUAGCGGUGAAAUGCGUAGAUAUAGGAAGGAACACCAGUGGCGAAGGCGACCACCUGGACUAAUACUGACACUGAGGUGCGAAAGCGUGGGGAGCAAACAGGAUUAG